UACUAAACUACAGAUCAUCUGAUGUGGAGCAGCAGGUUUUCUCCACCUCCCCUAAACAAGGAACCGGCUGUAAAGUGAUCUCCUAAAUAACUGAACAAAUGUUGUUUGCUGGCUUGAGGAAGUCACAGGAGAAUUCUCCAGGUCAGACCUCAAAGAGGAUCAGAAUUUCUAAGGACAUAGAUCACGUUAGUCUCCUCAAAAAAAGAGGGAAGCAACCUCCAGCGUAUUCAUGCUUCUGCCAGCAAGAAGAUUAUUCUUUAGUCUGUGUGAUGUGUCUACAGAGUAUUUUGGAAGCAAGGGAUAGAUCCUGUGGUCUUCUACUCUUUUUCCUCUUUCCACUCAUCUGUUACAUCUCAGUUCUGAUAUUGCCAUGGUAAUCAACAUCAUCAUAGAACACAGACAUGUCAUCUCUUAUCCAUGGAGAUACAAAAUCUGAAGGAUUUCUCACAUCUGUUGGUCACACCUCAGAAGUUCAGAGCUUAUUCAGGACGUGACAGAGACUGAGGAUUCAGCUGCAUAACUUCAUGGCAUCCUCAGUUUCCAACAGUGACUGCUCAAAAUCAGAGGCGUCCUAUUCAGGUCUUGGUUCCAAGGAGAGGACCAAUGGGGGUGAUCUCCAUCCUUCCCAUACCUUUCCCCAAAAGACCACAACCUCCCUCAAAGGUUACAUCUCUUGCCGUGAGACUACCACCUUCUAUGAAGGAUGCACAGUGGGCUGUUCAGGCCACAACCUCCCUUCUGUCGAAGUAACAGAGACAAGAAGUGUAAGAGAAUGCAUUGAAAAGAAAGAUCAAACUGAGGACAACCUUGGCCAGGCUCACAAACCAAGUACUGAUCUGAUCAAGCAAGUCUAGUCACAGAUCCCUGCCUGUUCUCACCUUUUUGUCUCAUUGGAAUCCCUGCUUCUCCCUCAAUAUCUAAUUAAAGCCCAUAUUAUCUGCCAAAA